rnacentral:lncRNA from 1 species
CCAGGGUAACAUUUGUUACCUAGGUAAACUUGUGUCACGGGGGUUUGUUGUACAAACUAUUUUGUCACCCACGUAUGAGGCCUACAUUUUAUGUACUCACUGCAUACAGCUUAAUGAAUUGGAUUCUUAUGGGGUUAGAAAGGAUAAAAAACAUCACCCCUGUUCUCAGGAAGCUUAAAACUGAGUUGAUACUAUAUGCCAUAUACAUGAGAAAAGAGACAAGAAAAUUCAGUCAGCUAUUUAAAUGUAGAAAUUGCCUUUCUUGGAUCACUGCAUAUGAGACACUGCCAGGCAGAUUAAGAAAAAAGGGAACUAGCUUCAAGGUGUGAGAACACAAGACGAGGAGAGUGUGUUUUCUGUGGGUGCUUCCACUAACAGCCUGCAUGCAAACCAUGGAGCUUCAGGGACUCUGGCCACCCCAGAUUCCCAUUUCUUUAGAGCAUGCAGGAAGAACCUUUCAAAAGGUUACAACCAGAGACCUGAAGGAAGCAAGGAAGAAAGCCACAUGGUUGUCAAAGAGAAGAGGAAAGGAGAUCACUAAGCUGGAUGACGUUUUCUGUUUCUUUGAAAACAGAGAAGAUGACAAGUUAGGGAGAGAUCAGAGGUCAUACUGUGAAGCACCUUUGGAUAAACGGCAGGGACUUUGGAUUUUCUUUUUGAAUAUAAGCAUAAUCCAUUGAAAGGUCUCAUGCAGGGAAGUGGCAAAACACUUUUAAAAUUUUUCAUCUUUUCUUUCUGAAGCAGAGUUCACUCUCCAUUUAUUUGUCUUCUUUGAUAUCUCUCAAUAGAAUGUUGCAGUUUUAGUAUUCUCCUAUUAAACAUUUGUUUAACUUUCUUGUUCUUCUAAAUAAUAAUUUAUUCUCCUUAUUUUCAUCAUUAGUGUCCCUGAAAUGCCAGAGUUUCAGACUAGGUCUACUACUCACCACACAAAAAGCCAAUCACUGAGACACAAGUAUUGACAAGUAAGAAGGCUUUAAUCAGAUCCAGGAUUCCCUAUCACUGUACUAGCAGUAAUCAGGCCAGGCCUUGGAAAGCAAGUAAUCUGAUUGGAGUUGCUCAACAUGAAAUUGCCAUGAAGUCAAGUUUCCGAU